GUGGUUGUAAGUGACAGCUAAAUGGACUCCACAUUGUGCUAAAUAAACCAAAUAUUCAAACACAGAAUCAACGGCGUAAGCGGGUUUAUUUUACCGAACGAAACAUGUGCAGUGGCCAGCGCGUCAAACCCUACUUUUAGCCUGUCUACGCAGCCCCUCAGUGGCUUUAAGUUAGGCUUAGCCGCUACACGCUUAUUAAAUCAUAUUAUCAGUUAUACAUUAUCUUCAUUUCAAAACAUAUUAUUUUUUUAUGUAGCAUCUGAACAGUUUUAUUUCUGGUGGGUUCAUCUAAAUCUCACUAUAAAUCCUCCAUUAUUAAAAAGACAGACUUUGUAAUGAAAAGAAAUCACAUGUAGGCCUAUAUAUCAUUGAACAUCUUCCCACUUAGUCCUUAAGGCAAUUUAUUGAAUAAUAUUUAUGGUCUGCUGCAGUUAAUAACAACUAUUUAAGCUGUGUUCACAACAUAGCAUGAUAAACAACUAAAAUGUUUGUCUCCCUGUGUUCAGCAGACCGGAUAUAAAACAAGUAAAAACGACAUGCUUCGCUGUUGUCGUUUUUUUUGGAAAGUUGCAGAAACAGAUGUUCAUUAAACUGUAUUGAAUGGCCAGAACGAAAUAAUAACGAAAUAAUACCGGAAUAAAUAAAAAAUCCAUAUAUAUAUUUAAUAAAAACGAGAGCACGUAGAAACACGCACGCACGCACGCGCGCCGUAAAAUGCCAUGGCAACCGAACGAUGACCCGACCGAGGGUAUAUAAGGUCAGCGCACUUUCUGAACGUUCCCUUUGCUCUUUGACUUGAACGCGAACUUUAAACCUCCCGUGAAAGCAAACUGCUGAGAACAAAACCUUUGAGUUUUUGACUACUGAGCGGAUUCUACUGGAUACCGAUAUUGUUGGAGAAGUGAACUACUGUAUAACAUCUUUAGUGGAGCACAGACGAGGCUGAAACAGGCCCUCAGGAGCGGCGGAGGAGCGGCGGAGCAUCGAGGACGACCACCGGCUGAAGGAAGUUGGCUGAUUGGAACCUUCAGUGUUCAACUGGUGUUACCUGCAUCAUGGAACGUCCCACACAACCCUGCCCCCUCGGCGAUGACCACGGCGUUCUCCUCAACUCUUCGGAUGAGGUAGGUGAGGUUGACUAUUAUGCUGUGGGUGAAGUUGAUUUUAUUCCCCUGGCCUUCCCGGAUGACAACGAGGAGCAGGAAAAGGAUGAAGAGGAGGAUGAAGAGGAGGAUGAAGAGGAGGAGGAAGAGGAGCGGCCCAUGUUGGCAAUGGACAGGCAACUGAUGCACUUUGGACUGGAGGCAGCAUUGUAUUUUCUGGCGGAGCAACACCAUGAGGAGGAAGAGGAUGAUGAGGACUGGAAGGAUUCUGGGUACGACUCCAUGUCUGUGUGCGACUCCCUUUCUGAGGACGAUUGGAUGGACUGGGUGGCACCUACGGAAGAAAUGCAACAAGAAGCUUUCCUGCAGUCUGUACUACUGCAACAUCCCCCACUUCCUUCACAUGUGGACCUUCCCGAAGAAGCGCCGAGUCCAGUCCCCCAGACGUCAGGAUUGUCCACCAAGAGGAGCAGGGAAGAGGACGACGCAGGUCAGGUAAGUAGGAAGAGGCAGAGGGAUGAGGACGACCAUGUGGACACAGCCGAAGAGGACUACAGGAACUCGGCACCCUCCACUUCAGGCCUCGCACCCUCCACUUCAGGCCGAGCACCCACAUUCAGAAGAUACUGGCAGUGGGCGGAAGACAGCGACUCGGAUUGAUGUCCUGAAGAAGCGCUGACAGCGCGUCAGGAGUGUCCUCCAAGAAGAGGACAACACAGAGCAGGUAAGUGAGAAAAGGCUGAGGGACGGUUACGAGGACCAUGUGGACAGUCCCUUGUUCUUCAGGACUAGGCCCCUCAUCCACUAAAAUUACCAAGACAGAGGACUACAACAUACUGGCAGUUGGCUGAAAACAGCAACUUGAUUGACAGCGACAUUCUGCUUGCUGCAGGAUGUAAAAACCGCCUUCCGCCGUGUUCAGCGAGGUUGGCUAUAGGUAGCAUCUUGCAGCAGAGUUUUUAGGCAUAUCUUCUUUAUGGGUUGAUCAAUUUGCAUCUAGUGCAAUCGCCCCCACUUCCUUCUCUUGUGGAAUGUCCUGAUGAAGCACUAAUCCCAGUCCUUCAGAUGUCAGGAGUGUCCUCCAAGUAGGCAAAGGGACGACACAGGGCAGGUAAGUGUGAAAAGGCAAAGAGACGGUGUCGAGGACCAGGUGGACACAGCCCCUUGCACUUCAGGGCUAGGCCCCUGCUCCACUAAGAGGACCAGGGAAGAGGACUACAGGAAUUCAGCACCCUCCACUUCAGGCCUCGCCCCACCCACACACAGAAGAUACUGGCCGCAGGCGGAAGACAGCGACUCGGAUUGAUGUCCUGAAGAAGCGCUGACUCCGUCAGGAGUGUCCUCCAAGCAGAAAAGAGGACAACACAGGGCAAGUGUGAAAAAGCAAAGAGACGGUGUCGAGGACCAUGUGGACACAGCCCCUUGCACUUCAGGGCUAGGCCCCUGCCCCACUAAGAGGACCAGGGAAGAGGACUACAGAGAGUCAGUGCACUCCACUUUAGGCCUCCACUUUCCCUCCUCAAAGAAGAGCGAUGCAGAUGGCUACCGGUGGUUUCCUCCCUCAUCUUUAGGCCUCAGCCCCCCACACACAGAAGAUGCUGGCAGUGGGCUGAAAGCAGCGACUUGGAUUGACAGCGACAUUCUGCUUGCUGCAGGAUGUAAAACCGCCUUCCCCCGUUUUCAGCGAGGUUGGCUAUAGGUACCAUCUUGCAGCAGAGUUUUUAGGCCUAUAUUUUUUAUGGAUUGAUACAUUUGCGUCCAGUGCAAUCUCCCCCACUCCCUUCUCCUGUGGAAUGUCCUGAUGAAGCACUAAUCCCAGUCCCCCAGAUGUCAGGAGUCUCCUCCAAGUAGGCAAAAGGACGACACAGGGCAGGUAAGUGUGAAAAGGCAAAGAGACGGUGUAGAGGACCAUGUGGACACAGCCCCUUGCACUUCAGGGCUAGGCCCCUGCCCCACUAAGAGGACCAGGGAAGAGGACUACAGAGAGUCAGUGCACUCCACUUUAGGCCUCCACUUUCCCUCCUCAAAGAAGAGCGAAGCAGAUGGCUACCGGUGGUUUCCUCCCUCAUCUUUAGGCCUCAACACAGAAGAUGCUGGCAGUGGGCUGGAAGCAGCAACUUGAAUUGACAGCAACAUGCUACAGGAUGUAAAACCGCCAUUUCCUGUGUUCCGUGAGGUUGGCUAUAGGUAGCAUCUUGCAGCAGAGUUUUUAGGCAUAUCUUCUUUAUGGAUUCAUAAAUUCGCGACCAGCGCAAUCUCCCCCACGUGGACACAGUCCCUUAUACUUCAGAUCUAGGCCCCUCGUCCACUAAGAGGACCAGGGAAGAGGACAAGAAGAUACUAGCAGUGGGCGGAAAACAGCGACUUGAAUUGAGAGCGACAGCUUGCUUUCUGCAGGAUGUGAAACCUUUGUGUCUGGUCAGGACUGAUAAAGCCCCAGACAGCCCCUUAUCUACCAAGUGAGGAGGACCAUUUGGACACAGCCCCUUCUACUUCAGGUCUAGGCCCCUGCCCCACUAAGAGGAGCAGGGAAGAGGACUACAGAGAGUCAGCGCACUCCGCUUUAGGCCUCGGUCCCUCCUCAAAGAAGAGCGAAGCAGAUGGCUACCGGUGGUUUCCUCCCUCAUCUUCAGGCCUCAGCCCCCACACACAGAAGAUGCUGGCAGUGGGCUGAAAGCAGAAACUUGAAUUAACAGCAACAUGCUGCAGGAUGUAAAGCCGCCAUUCCCCGUGAGGUUGGCUAUAGGUAGCAUCUUGCAGAAGAGAUUUUAGGUAUCUCUUCUUAAUUGAUUGAUACAUUUGCGACCAGUGCAGUCUCCUCCACUUCCUUCUCAUGUGGAAUGUCCUGAUGAAGCGCUAAUCCCAGUCCCCCAGAUGUCAGGAGUCUCCUCCAAGUGGGCAAAAGGACGACACAGGGCAGGUAAGUGUGAAAAGACAGAGGGACUGUCGAGGACCAUGUGGACACAGCCCCUUGCACUUCACGUCUAGGCUCCUCCUCCACUAAGAGAACCAGGGAAGAGGACUACACUGAGUCAGCUCCCUACAUUUCAUGCCUCUGCCCCUUCUUAAUGAAGAGCCCAGCAGAUGGCUACCGGUGGUUUUCCCCCCCCCACUUCACGGCCUCAGCCCCCCCCCCCCACACACACAGAUACUAUCUCUUCUUUAUACAUUUUAAUUUUGAUUAAUAGUUGAUGCUAUUCAUAGAGGCCAGAGGUAAGUUACAGGGGAUGGUUGUUAUUCUGUGUUGUAUUUUUAUUCAUGUAGUCUGGAUGUUUUUUUCAGACAAAGGUAAGUCUAUGCUUUUUAAUAACAUGCAUACCAGACAGAAGUCUCCAGAAAGUCUCUUUUAUAGUUAAGAAAAUUAAGGUGAAGGUGACUGAACCAGACAACGUUUAAGUAAUAUCCCCCAUAUGUUAAAAGGUUUUCAAGUUUCUUUUACAGUAAUGAGCCUAAUACAGGAAGAGAUCAGAAGGACGGAGGACUACAGGACCAGAUGACAAGGAUGGAUGACUGCAGGACCAGAUGACAAGGAUGGACGACUACAGGACCAGAUGACAAGGAUGGACGACUACAGGACCAGAUGACAAGGAUGGACGACUGCAGGACCAGAUGACAAGGAUGGACGACUACAGGACCAGAUGACAAGGAUGGACGACUAAAGAGCGGCUGGCGCCUUUCUUUCACUGGGCCAAGGAGAGACUCCUCCAGACUUGUCUAACUCCUGGGACAGCUAAGAGUAGAAGUCAGCCUACCCGUCGUGCCAAGCAGACCCAGACCCCCCACAGACCCCUCAAUGCCUCUCAGAACCCCGGUGAGUCCCAGACCUGUCACCCCAAGACCACCCGCCCCAGCCCCACGGAGAGAGGACGUCAGCAGCUGUCAGCCAAGAAUUCAUAUUCCAACAAAUUGAUGAUCUUAGGAUUCUGAAAUCUGACAUCAUUCACAACUUAAAUAA